GGAGAGACUCGGGAGCGCGGGCGACGGCGGCAACAGCGGCGGCAGCUGCGGGAGGAAGGGGGCGGGCGCCCCGGGAGGGGAGGGGGCGAGCGAGGCUGCAAAGUUUGUGCAGGCGGGGCUGGCUGGGGAGGCGGAGGACGGCGUCGGGUCGGGUGGAGCAGCAGGAGACGCGCUCCUGUCGUCGCUGCCCGCGGUCCUCUCGCACCCGCGGUCCUGUAGCUGCAUCCUCGCUGCUCAUCCUUCUCACAGGGGAACCAUUCUCUAAGCUUGCAGAAUGUCAUCCAUCAAGCAUCUCGUCUAUGCAGUUAUCCAUUUCUUGCGGGAACAAAGCCAGAUAGAUACUUACACUUCAGAUGAGCAAGAAAGCUUGGAAGUUGCAAUUCAGUGCUUAGAGACGGUUUUCAAGAUUAGCCCAGAAGAUACUCACCUUGCUGUAUCACAGCCACUGACAGAAAUGUUCACAAACUCCUUCUGUAAGAAUGACAUUUUACCACUUUCGGAUUCUUUGCCUGAAGAUGUGGGGAAAGCGGAUCAAUUGAAGGAUGAAGGAAAUAACCAAAUGAAAGAGGAAAACUAUGGUGCUGCAGUGGACUGCUAUACCCAGGCCAUAGAAUUGGAUCCCAAUAACGCAGUUUAUUAUUGCAACAGGGCUGCUGCCCAAAGCAAACUAGGUCACUACACGGAUGCAAUAAAAGAUUGUGAGAGAGCAAUAGAAAUCGAUUCCAAGUACAGCAAGGCCUACGGGAGAAUGGGGCUGGCCCUCACUGCCAUGAAUAAAUAUGAAGAAGCAAUUACAAGUUAUCAAAAAGCUUUGGAUCUUGACCCAGAAAAUGAUUCUUAUAAGUCUAAUUUGAAAAUAGCAGAACAGAAAUUAAGGGAGGUGGCCAGUCCUACCGGAACAGGACUGAGCUUUGACAUGGCUAGUUUGAUCAACAAUCCAGCCUUCAUUAGCAUGGCAGCAAGUUUAAUGCAGAACCCUCAAGUUCAACAGCUCAUGUCAGGAAUGAUGACAAAUGCCAUUGGGGGUCCUGCUGCUGGGGUUGGAGGCCUAACUGAUCUGUCCAGCCUUAUCCAAGCGGGACAGCAGUUUGCUCAGCAGAUACAGCAGCAGAAUCCCGAGCUCAUCGAGCAGCUGAGGAAUCACGUCCGGAGUCGCUCGUUCAGCAGCAGCACCGAAGAGCACUCCUGACUGGAUGGGAGGCGCGUCUCCUCCGACGAGAAUGUGAAUGGUUUCCUAGGCCUGACGUGUUUACCGUAGUUAAUGGGGGGAGGAGGGGGGAGAGAGAGAAGAAGAAAGGACACCAUUUUAACUGCUGCUUGGAAGGAAGUGAGGGGCAAAGCCUUGGUGUGUUUCUUCAGGAUACAUCUGUACCCCGCACGGACUUGAACCUGUCAUCGUCGGUAGAGCGGUCCCUGUCAAUGAAUAUUCCAUAGCCUCGUUAACUAAGACACCCACAUAGCCGUUGACCAGAUUUUAUUUUCAGUCUCUGCCCCGUGUAUUAGUGUUGUGUCCGGCCUCGCAGCCUAGAGCUCUUUGGCUCAGAAUCCCUUUAAGAGAGUUGUUAGGAAAGGUCGAGGAAAGGGUUUGAAGUGCGCCAUAUUCCCUUUGCUCUGUCCCAAGAGGAACGUAUCUGUACCCGAGUAGCAUGGAGUCGGGGCUAGCACAGCUCAUCCCCCCAGGAGAGCGGGGGUGGGGUGGGGGGUGGAGGCAUUGGUCACCCCUGAGAGUCAGACUCCAGUGACCAGUGUCAGCGCUAGCGCUGCUCUUGAGAAUGGGCGAGAAGAAAACCGGGCGCUGGGAAAGCAAAGCUUGGGGAAAUGGAAAGUAAUUUGGGGGGAAUGCGAAGUUAGGGAGAAGGAGAGGAGUUCAGGGAUGGGGUGCCUGGAUUUUCUAGCACCAGACCCAUAGUGUGGGGCUGAUAGUACUUGCAUGGCCAGCUGUGUCCUUUAUAAAGAUGCACACUCCUGCCUAGAGAGACGCCAAUGUGCAUAGUGAAAUACGCUUAGAAGUCUUUUGUGGCGACCCUUACGCCAGUCACGUGACCGUAUCCUUUCGCACAGCUUUACCGCUGGAAACCUCAAUGUGAGGAAAAACCAAGAACUAAAUUGAGGUCAGUCCCUACAUUAGGUUCAGUCAAUCAAUGGCUCGGACGCGAAGGCUCUCUGCAUUUCAUUACGUUCUAAUCAAUAAAACACCAGAUUCUGGAUCUUGGCAGUUUGAUGAUGGCCACUGUGACUAGCACUGCUCCUACGAUCAUCUCCUUCCUUUUGUUCGACACACCAGGGCACACCAGCCUUCUGUCGAAUACAAAACUUAACCGUGCCCUGUGGGAACACUACAAGGGUCCCGCCCCACAUGGCGUCCUCCAAUCAGAAGAGGAAAGGCCAGGGGCUGGGGUAUGGGGGAAGUCCGCUAACGCAGCGGACGAGACUGCGCUUGAAUCCCAGUUUAGCAGCCGAUUUGUGUGUAACCCGCAGGCGAGGCCAUGAGACAGCGUGUCUGGCCUGCCUCAUCCCCCAUCUCUGCUGGAGGUGAAGAUCACACCCAGCUAUGCCUUGUCAUCCUUGUCCUUUAGAGAGCCUUCGAAGAGGGUCCAUGCCAUGUGCCCGACACUUCCGGUUCUUUCUACUUUUCCUGGGUCCCACUUUAGCCUGGUUCAUGCGCUUCCCCUUCGCUCUCCCUCCUUUUCCGGCCCCACGUGAUCUGUUUCCCCUUCACUCUAUCUGUUUCCCCUUCGCUCUCGCUCCUUUUCCGGCCCCACCCCGACGUGAUCUGUUUCCCCUUCGCUCUCGCUCCUUUUCCAGCCCCUCGUUAGCUGACUGAUGCCGCUUCUUCCUUGUCCCUGAAGUAGAUCCACUAGAGUGCUAGUCCGUGCAGGGGUCUCCUGAAGCCUGAGAGGGCACUUCUUUUUCCUUUCUUUUUCUAUCCUUCUGUCAAUGCCGGUGGUUUCUCACUUCUGUCUCUCAGCUCCUUUCGGACUCUCCCAGUCACCCAACUUUGCCACCCAACCACUCCUCAGUUGUGACAAUCAGCUUUUCGAGGUAACUGACACAGUAGUCAUCACAAGGUUCAUUUCUUUCAUCGGCUCACUCCCCCGUCCUUUCUUGGGGCUCUGGGGUCAAGGCAAGGCUUUUCUUUCUUUCAGCUUGAAAUGUAUCAAGCACCUGUUGGGUGCUAAGACGCCAGGAGCCCUUUAGCCUCUCCCAUCCAGUUCAGCUCGGGGUGAUCACUGUCGUUCCCUCGGGCCUCUCUGCACAGCUGCUUGGUCCUCCCCAUUGCUUUCUUUGCUCCGCUCAUCCCUCUCUGCGAGGCUAGACCUUCUGCAGGUGAAACACAAUAGUCUAAGAGUGCUUCACGAAGCGGGCAGAUGGAUAUACCCACAGCCCUCUCCGGCAGGGAAGAGGAGAGUGGGAAUGGGAAGGCCAGGAUGGCCCAACUGGUCGAGGUGGGCCCCAACGCAUUAUGAUGUGGGGGACCCCAACAAGUCCUUGGGGCUCAGUGGCUCCAAGCAUGUGUCCCCAACCGAUACCUGUUGUGGGCUCGAGGCCAGACUCUGUCCUCCAGGCGUGCUCCCCCUUGUAGGGACUGGCCUCUUGCAGAAGUCAAUUUGAUUUUAACCAUCCUUGCGAAGAUUAGCUCUUGACAUCAGAUCUACCCAUGCUGGUCCUCGAGUACAUUAAAAAUUAUUUUGAAACGGUAAUUUCUCUCUUCUCUAGGGCUUGCGGUCAAACCGUGCUGUUCUGUAUUUAAGGGGUUUCCAUGGACCACCUUGGUUUGGUGUUAAAUACAAGGCAUUUGACUAACGGAACUAUUUCUACUUCCUGCUUUGAGUCCUCCUGGAUUUCUGAAGAUCUUUCCUAAGAUUUUUCAUCUUAAAGAAAAACUCCAUACCUUCGGUCUUGGUCUUGGAAUCAAUACUGGGUAUUGGCUCCAAGGCAGAAGAGUGGUAGGAGCUAGGCAAUGGGGGUCAAGUGACUUUCCGAGGUCACAUUUGAACCCGGGACCUCUUGUCGCUAGCCCUGGCUCUCAAUCCACUGAGCUACCCAGCUGCCCCCUAUAAAUCAUAAUCUUAAGCUUGUCUGCCCCUUGGGAAUUGUGACUCAUCUGGGCAUUUGACUGUACAAAAGCACUUGCUUGUCUCUCUAUUAUCAGGUUAGAGGGUUGGGCGUCAUCUUCUGUAUGAAUCUGAGGAAUCUCCAUUAUUGAUUUACAGGGUGACAUGACUGGAGCCAUUUCUUCUGAAAUAGCCCUUGGAGUUUUCCCAUUUCUGUAUGUCUAGAUGAGGCUCAGUUCUGAUCAAGUUAUAGUAUUGUUUAUGCAAUUUGAUAAUAUUUGAUGCCCCUCCAUUCCCCCCAGCUUUUUCUGGCGAGGCAGAGUGUGUGUGUGUGUCCAGAUUGUGAUAUCGCUGUUGUAGGGGCUUCUGGGAGUCCUAGGCUGAACUUUCUCUACUGAUGCAGUAGACUGAAAAAGGUUUUCAACUUCAUGAAGAUUUCUUUAGUUCUGGCUGUAUUGAGAUGAUGUAUGCACUCUCUGACUUAGGUGACAAUGUUCAAUUCAUGUACCAUGUAGCAAAGAAUGAAUUUCAUACCUAUCUUUUACAGUCUGUGUGUAAUUCAAAUACUCAUCUUUUCUAACUAAUGGCAUUAUCUAACGUUACAGGGUUACACUAAAGUGAAAGCAUAUACUGUGCAAGGGUCCAAUUACUUGUAUAUUAAAAGAAGACGCUUUAUAAUCCUGAAACCAAACAAUGUAGCAAUUCCCAAGUGGCCACCACACAUUAAAUGCUUUUCCAUUUGAAUCUGGGAAAAAACAGAAGGGUUCUUUAUGAGGAAAUGUAUGAUGAAAAACUAACAUACCAAUUAUACUGGCUACAUGGUUUUGCUGUCAUUUAACUCAUCUUAAUCAUGGAGGAGGAAGAAGAAAAAGACACUUUAUAAUUUUAACUAAUUGCACUUUAUUUUACACUGAGGACAUUUCAUAUGGAUUAUUCCAAUUAAAAUGGCAAACCAUGUUCUGAAAUCACUUUCAUUUUAGGCUAACAACAGUUUGUCAUGUAAUUAAUAAAUACUUAUGCAUUAAAACAAA